CAUUCGAGUCUGCUUCAGCUUC
rnacentral:siRNA from 1 species